GAUGAACGCUGGCGGCGUGCCUAAUACAUGCAAGUCGAGCGAACAGACGAGGAGCUUGCUCCUCUGACGUUAGCGGCGGACGGGUGAGUAACACGUGGAUAACCUACCUAUAAGACUGGGAUAACUUCGGGAAACCGGAGCUAAUACCGGAUAAUAUAUUGAACCGCAUGGUUCAAUAGUGAAAGACGGUUUUGCUGUCACUUAUAGAUGGAUCCGCGCCGCAUUAGCUAGUUGGUAAGGUAACGGCUUACCAAGGCAACGAUGCGUAGCCGACCUGAGAGGGUGGUCGGCGACACUGGAACUGAGACACGGUCCAGACUCCGACGGGAGGCAGCAGUAGGGAAUCUUCCGCAAUGGGCGAAAGCCUGACGGAGCAACGCAGCGUGAGUGAUGAAGGUCUUCGGAUCGUAAAACUCUGUUAUUAGGGAAGAACAAAUGUGUAAGUAAAUAUGCACGUCUUGACGGUACCUAAUCAGAAAGCCACGGCUAACUACGUG
rnacentral:rRNA from 1 species